GGACGCAUGGGGCGACCAGGAGACAUCACCAAGCCCUAGUUCAUCACUUAAUUCACAAAAUUGAAGGUCCAAAUCUGAUCAAAAACAAAAAUUGAGCAUAGAUUACUGAUCCUCAUCACAAGAGGAUUACAAGGAAAAGAUACCGGAGCGUCGAGUGGACAAGCCGGUGGCGAUUCGCGUUGAAGGGCGUGCACUAAAGGUGAUGUUGAAAGGUAACCGGAAGAUGAUCGAGCUAGAUUUUGAAGAACCGAACACUACUUACAAGCUUCCGCAAUGUUUUAAAUCUUUAAUAGACUAUGUUUAUGGGUUGUAAUCAAUAGUUAAACAUCUUUUGAAAUGUUUUAACU